UCGAAGUAGUACUCGUUAUGUGCUAGUUCCAAUUAGAAUUAGCUCAUAACAUAAUUCCGUCUCGUGUGUAAAAUUAUUGAAGCAUGAAAUGGACCACCCCUACUUUCCCGUGAGUGUUGUAAAAGGCGACUAAGGGCACUUAAUGGUCGAGAGAUGUGCAGCAACGACCCUCUAUAAACACUACCAAAGUCUAACUGCGGUUGCCAAUCCUCUUGCCAAGCAUGACAACUUCUGGCCACCACUAUCGAUCUCUCGCUGCCCGCCGUGAUUCGGCGGAUGGUGAGCAGUGAGAGAUCGUGGGAAGCGGUGCUCGCCUUUUGCGAUGCCGUCAUGAGUGGUGCCAGGGUGAGCACGCCAGCCACCCUAUCUUGAGAGAGGAGACCUGCCCUUACCAUCAGGAGACGGGUCGCUGCCAUAGGAGGUGUGGCAUUCGAAAUGUGGACAUGCAGAGGAAUGGAAAGAACAAGCUGGACAGAAAAACUAACGAGUGAGGACGUCCUGAGAAGAGUGAACGAGAAAAGAACAUUAAUUGAAACAAUAGAGAAUAGAAGAGGCAAAAUGCUGGACCACCUUAUACGACAUGACGAUUUUUUUAAGAGCAUAGUAAAAGGAAAAAAUAGAAGGCAAAAGAGGAAGAGGAAGACCGAGGAAUAACUACAUGGGACAGAUAAAAGAAACACUAAGUGUCAUGUCGUAUAGAGAGGUCAAGGAUAUGGCCUGAGAUAGAAUUGGCUGGAAGAAGAUGCAUGAAUUAGUUGCACCAGCAAGAGGAAACUUUUAAAUGAAAAGAGAGAACCUAAGCUUACAUAGGGACAAACAGUCGGGAAUCGACUUUGUUUUAUACUAUGUUAUGAUUACGAUAUUAGGCGAUCGCAAAUUGAUUGCAAGAUACGUAAUUACAAUAUGGGACGGACCGGUUUUCUAUUUAUAGAUAUUUUUGUUUAUAUCUUAUGUGAAUUUUAAUUAAAACUCAACGACUGCUAUGUG